rnacentral:rRNA from 1 species
AUUGAACGCUGGCGGCAUGCCUUACACAUGCAAGUCGAACGGUAACAGGUCUUCGGAUGCUGACGAGUGGCGAACGGGUGAGUAAUACAUCGGAACGUGCCCGAGAGUGGGGGAUAACGAGGCGAAAGCUUUGCUCAUACCGCAUACGAUCUCAGGAUGAAAGCAGGGGACCGCAAGGCCUUGCGCUCACGGAGCGGCCGGUGGCAGAUUAGGUAGUAGGUGGGAUAAAAGCUUACCAAGCCGACGAUCUGUAGCUGGUCUGAGAGGACGACCAGCCACACUGGGACUGAGACACGGCCCAGACUCCUACGGGAGGCAGCAGUGGGGAAUUUUGGACAAUGGGCGCAAGCCUGAUCCAGCCAUGCCGCGUGCAGGAUGAAGGCCUUCGGGUUGUAAACUGCUUUUGUACGGAACGAAAAGACUCUGGUUAAUACCUGGGGUCCAUGACGGUACCGUAAGAAUAAGCACCGGCUAACUACGUGCCAGCCGCCGCAGUAAUAC